rnacentral:rRNA from 1 species
CCAUGAGGGAAAUAUGAAAAGGACUUUGAAAAGAGAAUUAAAAGAGUCUGCAUUUGCUGAACAGAAAGCAAACAGAAUGAAUUCUGCUUGGUUAGAUUAUUGUGCCGUCUGCUUUGUUUAUUUGUGUUGCAUCAGGGUGCAAUGGUUCUUUCCUUGAAUGCCAGCUUUAUUUCUGCAAAUCGUAAUCUUUGUGCAUGAAUGGAAAUACGUCUGCGGGUAUUGGAUUGCAUGUGUUUGUGGUGAUUUGUGAUUUACCUAUAUGUGUGUCUUGUGUUGGUGGCUUGUGAGCUUAAGGGUUGUUUUCAUUCUUGAGCAUGGGAAACCUUGAUUGCAUAUUUGCUGGCAACAUGUUUCUGCUUGACCCGUCUUGAAACACGGACCAAGGAGUCUAACAGAUGUGCAAAUUUGUGGGUGCGCAAACCUGUUUGUGAAAUGAAAGUAUUGGCUGGGAUACUUGCACCAGCAGCCGACCAAUUGGCAGACAGAGGUUUGAGCUUGAGCAUAUCUAUUAGGACCCGAAAGAUGGUGAACUAUGCCUGAACAGAAUGAAUUCAGAGGAAACUCUGAU